AGAGUUUGAUCCUGGCUCAGGAUGAACGCUAGCUACAGGCUUAACACAUGCAAGUCGAGGGGCAUCGGGAAGAAAGCUUGCUUUCUUUGCCGGCGACCGGCGCACGGGUGAGUAACACGUAUCCAACCUGCCCUUUACUCGGGGAUAGCCUUUCGAAAGAAAGAUUAAUACCCGAUGGGAUAAUUAUUCCGCAUGGUUUGAUUAUUAAAGGAUUCCGGUAAAGGAUGGGGAUGCGUUCCAUUAGGUUGUUGGUGAGGUAACGGCCCACCAAGCCUUCGAUGGAUAGGGGUUCUGAGAGGAAGGUCCCCCACAUUGGAACUGAGACACGGUCCAAACUCCUACGGGAGGCAGCAGUGAGGAAUAUUGGUCAAUGGGCGCUAGCCUGAACCAGCCAAGUAGCGUGAAGGAUGAAGGCUCUAUGGGUCGUAAACUUCUUUUAUAUAAGAAUAAAGUGCAGUAUGUAUACUGUUUUGUAUGUAUUAUAUGAAUAAGGAUCGGCUAACUCCGUGCCAGCAGCCGCGGUAAUACGGAGGAUCCGAGCGUUAUCCGGAUUUAUUGGGUUUAAAGGGAGCGUAGGUGGACUGGUAAGUCAGUUGUGAAAGUUUGCGGCUCAACCGUAAAAUUGCAGUUGAUACUGUCAGUCUUGAGUACAGUAGAGGUGGGCGGAAUUCGUGGUGUAGCGGUGAAAUGCUUAGAUAUCACGAAGAACUCCGAUUGCGAAGGCAGCUCACUGGACUGCAACUGACACUGAUGCUCGAAAGUGUGGGUAUCAAACAGGAUUAGAUACCCUGGUAGUCCACACAGUAAACGAUGAAUACUCGCUGUUUGCGAUAUACAGUAAGCGGCCAAGCGAAAGCAUUAAGUAUUCCACCUGGGGAGUACGCCGGCAACGGUGAAACUCAAAGGAAUUGACGGGGG
rnacentral:rRNA from 1 species